rnacentral:rRNA from 1 species
UGUGGGGUGACGGCGUGCCUAUCGAAAAAUGAGUCUGCGAGUCAGUGGCAUGUGGCGAGCAUAACCCGUGUGGGGUAUGCGUAGCGAAGGCGAGUCUUAAAAGGCGUUUGAGUCGCGUGUCCUGGACCCGAAGCGGGAUGAUCUAGCCCUGGGCAGGUUGAAGCGCGGGUAAGACCGCGUGGAGGACCGAACCCACCUGGGUUGAAAACCGGGGGGAUGACCUGGGGCUAGGGGUGAAAGGCCAAUCAAAUUCCGUGAUAGCUGGUUCUCUCCGAAAUGCAUUUAGGUGCAGCGUCGGUCGAUUGCGUCGCGGGGGUAGAGCUACCGGAUGCUUGCGGGCCCUUGUUGGGUACCAACAGCAGCCGAACUCCGAAUACCGUUGACGUGUAUUCCGGCAGUGAGUCGGCGGGGGAUAAGCUCCGUCGUCGAGAGGGAGACAGCCCAGACCGUCGUCUAAGGUCCCGAAGCGUGUGCUAAGUGGGAAAGGAUGUGGAGUCGCAUAGACAGCCAGGAGGUUGGCUCAGAAGCAGCCAUCCUUGAAAGAGUGCGUAACAGCUCACUGGUCUAGUGGUUCCGCGCCGACAAUGUAGCGGGGCUCAAGCACACCACCGAAGACGCGGCAGUAUUUUGUACUGGGUAGGAGAGCGUCCCAUGAGGGGCGAAGCGGCCGUGUGAACGCGCCGUGGACUUCAUGGGAGUGAGAAUGCAGACAUGAGUAGCGAGAGACGGGUGAAGAUCCCGUCCGCUGGAUGACCAAGGGUUCCAGGGCCACGUUCAUCGUCCCUGGGUGAGUCGGGUCCUAAGGCGAGGCCGACAGGCGUAGUCGAAUGGAUGAACGGGUGGAUAUUCCCGUACCGACCAUGGACCGGCAAAACCGAGACGGUGAGUACUAACCUCCGCCUCGUGGUGGUUCCUUCCUUCGGGUUGGUGUCGCCGCGUGGUGUUGGGAGCGUAGCCGCAGUAGGUCAGCGCAGGGGUGACACGGAAUGGGAGCCGGCCGCGGAGGUGGUUUUCCGUGGUCAAGCACGCAGCCAGUCAUGUAGGCAAAUCCGCAUGGCGUGCAUGGCGAGGUGUGAUGAUGGGAGCCGUUAUGGUUCGAUAUCCGGUUGUCCAGGCCGUCGAGAAAAGCCUCGGCGUGAGGGCCAUGGCCGCCCGUACCCCAAACCGACACUGGUGGUCAGGUAGAGAAUACCAAGGCGAUCGAGCGAAUCCUGGUCAAGGAACUCGGCAAAUCACUCCCGUUCCUUCGGUUUAAGGGAGACCCCCGAUGGUGAACACACUUGCUGUGGGAGCUUUUGGGGGUGGCACAGACCAGGGGGUAGCGACUGUUUACCAAAAACACAGGUGCAUGCGAAGGCGCAAGCCGCUGUAUAUGCACUGACGCCUGCCCGGUGCCGGAAGGUUAAGAGGAUCCGUCAGCCUUCGGGUGAAGCGGUGAAUUCAAGCCCCGGUAAACGGCGGUGGUAACUAUAACCAUCCUAAGGUAGCGAAAUUCCUUGUCGGGUAAGUUCCGACCUGCACGAAUGGCGUAA